UUUGUAUUUGCAUUUAAGUUUCAACUGAAAAUUGUUUUCAAAUAUUUUAUACUAAGAAUGAAGUUGUUCAGAUAGAUUUUGUUUAAUUGUUUCCGUUACUGACUUAUUCCGUAUUUUCCAAGUACUAGUUUUCAUACAAAGAUUUUCGUUCCAAUUAUGAUGGCAGUAUAGUAGACAAUGAAAGCCAUGCUGAGACAUGAAUUCAUGUUUCUAUCAGUUUGGAAUGUAAAACAUCCUACGCUGAAAAUGGACUAUAGGAUACUGAUAAUAAGAAAUUGUUUUAUUCAACAUUGACGUAUGUCAGAUCACUCAAGGCAUGCAGAAACAUGAAUUCACAUUUCUACCACUUAAGAAAGUAUCAACAUCCUAUGCUGAAAAAGGACUAGAAGAUACUGCUAAUAAUAUUGGGUUUAUGUAAUGUGCGUAUGGCUGUACACCAGAUAUACUCAGGACAUAUUGAUACAUGAAUUACCAUUUCUACCACAUGGGAAAGUUUCAACAUCCUACGUUGAAAAUGGACUGGACGAUCCUGAUAAUUAUAAUAGUUUUAUGCAUAAUGGCUGUACACCAGAUAUACUCAGGACAUAUUGAUACAUGAAUUACCAUUUCUACCACAUGGGAAAGUUUCAACAUCCUACGUUGAAAAUGGACUGGACGAUCCUGAUAAUUAUAAUAGUUUUAUGCAUAAUUGACGUAUGUCAGAUCACUCAAGGCAUGCAGAUACAUGAAUUCACAUUUCUACCACUUAAGAAAGUAUCAACAUCCUAUGCUGAAAAUGGACUAGAAGAUACUGCUAAUAAUAUUGGGUUUAUGUAAUAUGGCUGUACACCAGAUAUACUCAGGACAUAUUGAUACAUGAAUUACCAUUUCUACCACAUGGGAAAGUUUCAACAUCCUACGUUGAAAAUGGACUGGACGAUCCUGAUAAUUAUAAUAGUUUUAUGCAUAAUUGACGUAUGUCAGAUCACUCAAGGCAUGCAGAUACAUGAAUUCACAUUUCUACCACUUAAGAAAGUAUCAACAUCCUAUGCUGAAAAUGGACUAGAAGAUACUGCUAAUAAUAUUGGGUUUAUGUAAUGUGCGUAUGGCUGUACACCAGAUAUACUCAGGACAUAUUGAUACAUGAAUUACCAUUUCUACCACAUGGGAAAGUUUCAACAUCCUACGUUGAAAAUGGACUGGACGAUCCUGAUAAUUAUAAUAGUUUUAUGCAUAAUUGACGUAUGUCAGAUCACUCAAGGCAUGCAGAUACAUGAAUUCACAUUUCUACCACUUAAGAAAGUAUCAACAUCCUAUGCUGAAAAUGGACUAGAAGAUACUGCUAAUAAUAUUGGGUUUAUGUAAUAUGGCUGUACACCAGAUAUACUCAGGACAUAUUGAUACAUGAAUUACCAUUUCUACCACAUGGGAAAGUUUCAACAUCCUACGUUGAAAAUGGACUGGACGAUCCUGAUAAUUAUAAUAGUUUUAUGCAUAGUACGAGUAAUUGAUAUUGAAUAUAAUU